GACUAGCUAGUAGGUACAAAAUAUUUCAAAUUAUAUGCAAAUUGAGAGUAACAAUAUCACAACUUUACAACAUAUAUACCAUAGCUAGUUUAAAUUUCCAUAUUAACUUAAAUAGUACUCCAAGCAAGCUAUUUCAACCCCCAAAAAAUAAAAAUACUACUAGUUGUAUCAAUCUUCUCAAGGAAGUAGAAGUAUAACCUAUACUAAGUAGACUCUAUCUAUACACUAAAGCACAAAAUCUCUUCUUUUCUAUACUAUAAUUAAAAAAAGAAGUAUAUAUACUAGAAAGUGUGCUUUAAACUUUUGUCUCCUAUGAUAGGUUGUAUCAAAUUGGGUCCUCCGACUUGGGCCAGAAGGCCUCACACAAUAUAAGAGUAUCCCUAACUUCCUUUUUUAUGUUUUCAGCUAUCAAUACGAGACUUUGUGGUAUUCAUGUUCCAAGAUUACCUGUAACAAAAUCUGGCAAUAGUUGAGUUGGAAAUCGCUUAUUCCCACUUUGAAAAUCAAUGUUUUCAUAUCCCAUUCUAUUGUAAUGGCUUCCUAUUUCAGGCCUACUUCCCAACUCAUUAGAAAGAUAAUUUUGUUGGCUCACUGGCAUGGCUAGGUUUUCAGAAGGAGGAAGUCCUAAAGUAAGAGAUACACCAUUAUUUCCAUGAAAAUUCGCGGUCAUUUGUUGAUCAUGAGGAUCAAACCUUCCAAAAUCUCCCAUCGCGUACGCUGCCAUUAAAGGAUUAGUAAACCCUUUGUUUGUUGAUUCUCUAGCUUUGGCUUCCAUUUCAACAGAUGAAAGAAUACUACUUGGAGAAAACUUGUGCAUGUCAUGAUUUCUUGGCUUUUUCGCGUUGUUUUCAAUAUGAUCAACAGUAGUAGUAGUAUUCUCCAUGUUGAAUGAACCAAGGAAGGAGAAGUUGUGAGCAUGAUGAAGUGAAGCACCUGCAGUAGGGGAAGUUGAAAUAGUUGAGGUAGAAAUUUCUGCUUGAGUAGUACCAUCUUGUAAUAAGCUGCUAGUAAUAAUUGGUUGUUUCUCUUCAUUUGGAGCACUUAUAUUCGUCUCUUUGUUUUUGUUAUCUCCUGAAGUAUUACUACUGUUUUGUUCUUGAUUCUUCACUUCUUCCAAGUACAUUUCUUCAACCAUUGGCUUCCAUAAUCGAACUCGAGCAUUA
rnacentral:misc_RNA from 1 species